CUAGGUUUGACAUCCUCUGACAUCCGUAGAAAUACGGCUUUUGUAGCAAUACAACAGAGAGACAGGUGCUGCAUGGCUGUCGUCAGCUCGUGUCGUGAGAUGUUGGGUUAAGUCCCGCAACGAGCGCAACCCUUAUCCUUAGUUGCCAGCAGGUUAAGCUGGGCACUCUAAGGAGACUGCCGAUGAUAAAUCGGAGGAAGGUGGGGAUGACGUCAAAUCAUCAUGCCCCUUAUGUCUUGGGCUACACACGUGCUACAAUGGUCGGUACAAAGGGCAGCGAAGGAGUGAUCUGGAGCGAAUCCCAAUAAACCGAUCUCAGUUCGGAUUGUAGGCUGCAACUCGCCUACAUGAAGUCGGAGUUGCUAGUAAUCGCGAAUCAGAACGUCGCGGUGAAUGCGUUCCC
rnacentral:rRNA from 1 species